GUAUUCAUUCUCCAAUCUUGGGUAUUUAUACCUAGGAGAGGAGAGAUUUGAGGCGUCGCACUUACACUGCGUGCCUUUAAAACUAUUGCUGCUGGAUACUGUCAAGUAACGGAAAAGUAUGUGUAUGAGACUUCGGUUUCUCUAAUACUCAGUACGGGUGAUGGUGCUUGUCCGGCACUCAACUAUUAAAGGCAACCUUUCGGGGUUGACUUGAA
rnacentral:misc_RNA from 1 species